rnacentral:lncRNA from 1 species
AGAAGCUUAUCUCCUAGGCUCACUAUCCUAGAGAUCCAAAUAAGUUCUUAUGGAGAAUUUUCAAAGACUAAGAGGUGGAAACAAUGUUUUCAGAUUUCGAAAUGAUUCUAGUUUGUUUUUCUAGAUGACAUGUAUAGCAAACUUUGACCUUGUAGAAAUUAAUUUAAGAAAGCCAAUGACUAGGUCUUUUGAGAUUAAGUACAUACUAGUAUGAGUUGAUUUUAUAUGCCAAAAGUGGUUUCUUUAAUCUUGGUAUUCAUAGUGCAUAUAUUUAAAGGCAUACCAAGUAUACAUUCUCAUGUCUAUGAUCAAUAAAAGAUAAUACCAUUGAUA